rnacentral:rRNA from 1 species
UGAACGCUGGCGGCAGGCCUAACACAUGCAAGUCGAGCGGCAGCACGGGUACUUGUACCUGGUAGCGAGCGGCGGGACGGGUGAGUAACUGCCUAGGAAUCUGCCUGGUAGUGGGGGAUAACGCUCGGAAACGGACGUUAAUACCGCAUACGUCCUACGGGAGAAAGCAGGGGACCUUCGGGCCUUGCGCUAUCAGAUGAGCCUAGGUCGGAUUAGCUAGUUGGUGAGGUAAUGGCUCACCAAGGCGACGAUCCGUAACUGGUCUGAGAGGAUGAUCAGUCACACUGGAACUGAGACACGGUCCAGACUCCUACGGGAGGCAGCAGUGGGGAAUAUUGGACAAUGGGGCAACCCUGAUCCAGCAAUGCCGCGUGUGUGAAGAAGGCCUGAGGGUUGUAAAGCACUUUAGUUGGGAGGAUGGUAGACUAGGUUAAGAGCUAGGUUUAUUGACGUUACCCAAAGAAUAAGCACCGGCUAACUCCGUGCCAGCAG